rnacentral:rRNA from 1 species
UUAAAAGCUCGUAGUUGGAUUUCUGUGGGGACGGAGCGGCCGGCCGCAACUUGCGGUUCGAGCUAGCGCUUUCCCUACAUCCUGCCGCGAACCGUGCUACCAUUAGUUUGGUGGCGCCGGGGAUCGGCUCGUUUACUUUGAGAAAAAUAGAGUGUUCAAAGCAGGCCACACGCCUUGAAUAAGUUAGCAUGGAAUAAUAAUAAAGGACUUCGGUUCUAUUUUGUUGGUGUUCGGGACUGAAGUAAUGAUUGAUAGGGACAGUUGGGGCGGUCAGUAUUCCAAAGCGAGAGGUGAAAUUCUUAGACCUUCGGAAGACUAACAGCUGCGAAAGCGUUCCGCAAGGAUGUUCCCUUUGAUCAAGAACGAAAGUUGGGGGAUCGAAGACGAUCAGAUACCGUCGUAGUCUCAACUAUAAACUAUACCAGCUAGGGAUCGGCCAACGUUAAAUUAUUCGACUUGGUCGGCACCUUAUGAGAAAUUAAAGCAUCUGGGUUCCGGGGGGAGUAUGGUCGCAAGGCUGAAACUUAAAGGAAUUGACGGAAGGGCACCACCAGCCGUGGAGCCUGUGGCUUAAUUUGACUCAACACGGGAAAACUUACCAGGUCCAGACAUAGUAAGGAUUGACAGAUUGAUAGCUCUUUCUUGAUUCUGUGGGUGGUGGUGCAUGGCCGUUCUUAGUUGGUGGAGUGAUUUGUCUGGUUAAUUCCGUUAACGAACGAGACCCCAGCCUGCUAAAUAGCGCGGUUGAGCUUUGCUCGGCGCGAGCUUCUUAGAGGGACUAUGAUGCGCGAUAGCACAUGGAAGUUUGGGGCAAUAACAGGUCUGUGAUGCCCUUAGAUGUUCUGGGCCGCACACGGGCUACGCUGGCGCUGCAACGAGCAUAUCAGCUGGCCCGANAGGUCUGGCUAUCUUUGACGGCGC